UACGUAGGUAGCAAGCGUUGUUCGGAGUUACUGGGCGUAAAGGGUGCGUAGGCGGCUUCUUAAGUCUGGUGUGAAAUCUCCCGGCUCAACUGGGAGGGUGCGCCGGAUACUGAGGGGCUAGAGGGUGGGAGAGGAAAGUGGAAUUCCUGGUGUAGCGGUGAAAUGCGUAGAUAUCAGGAGGAACACCUGUGGCGAAAGCGGCGCACUGGACCGCAACUGACGCUGAGGCGCGAAAGCUAGGGGAGCAAACAGG
rnacentral:rRNA from 1 species